rnacentral:lncRNA from 1 species
GCCGGGGAUGUUGCCAGCAGUGGGCAGGGGCAUUGGGGGGAGGCAUACCCGGCUUCAUCCCGCCGGGUAGGAGCUGGAGGAGGGGUAACUGCCUCUCCCCGGGUGGCAGAUGACCCACAAUUGUGUACAGCCCCUCAGGUGUGAGCUGAACCACAAUUGGGGGCACCUCCUGAGGUGGGAGCUGACCCACUGUUGGGGGCACCUCCUGAGGUGGGAGCGGGCCCACAGUUGCGGGUACACCCUGAGGUGGGAGCUGACCCACAGUUUGGGGCAUUGCCCCAGCUGUCAGCUGAAUCACAUUUUCAGGCUUUGCCCCUGGUGGCACCUGCACUACAGGUGGGGGCAUUGCCCCAGUUGGGAGCUGACCCACAGUUGGGGGCACCACCUGAGGUGGGAGCGGACCCACAGUUUGGGGCAUUGCCUCAGCUGGCAGCUGAAGCACAGUUGGGGGCAUUGCCCCAGGUGGUGGGAGCUGAGCCACCAUGGAGAGCAUCCCCUGUGGUGGGAUCAGAUCCACCAUUGGGACUACCCCCUGAGGUGGGAGCUGACCCCCAUUAUAGGGCAUUGCCCCAAGGGGCAGCUCAACCAUAGUUUGGGGCAUUGCCCCAGGUGGCAGCUGAGCCACAACUGGGGGCAUUGCCCCAGGUGGCAGCUGAAGCACAGUUUGAGGCAUCGCCCCAGGUGGCAGCUGCGCUCCCUGUCCCUGCACACCCGGUACCCCCGGCUGGACAGAGGCCUGAGGCACCAUGGAGGUGACAUUGGGGGCAGGGAUGGGCUGGAAGGAUACGGGCACUGCUCCGCCAAUGGUGGUCUGCAUCGCAGCAGUGGCCGGUGGGGGCACAAAGAUCCAAAUAAAGUUGCGUCGGGUGUCGGAAGCACCGUCAGCGAUGAAGGAAUUCUCUCUGUGGGGAAAUGCCCAAAUGGGCGCCGGGGUGAGAUGUGGGGCACUGGGAUCCCCUGGAGGGCCGCAGUGCCAGGAGCAGGAGGAGCCUGCUGCCUUACCUGCCGUGGCAGCUCGAGAGUGGCAGUGGGGGGUUCCGUGAGCGCUGGGGUCAGCCCCUCUGCCCUGAGCUCACAGUGCCCCUCUGUGACGCUGUCCCGUGGUGUCACAGGCACUGCUCUGUGCCUGCCAUGUCAUCAACUUGCUGUGGCUGCAGCCGUGCUGGUGACAGCAUGGGACGAGUGUGGGGAGCUAUGGCCUCUGCCCAUCUCAUACUCUUCCUCCUGAUGGCCACAACUUGCUAUAAGUUCACUGCUGCUCCGUGGCGAGCACCAGGAGCAGGUGGGUGAGCAAAACGGAGCGGCACGGGGGGCACGAAGUCACUGCAAGGACAGAGCCUUUGGGGCUCCCCCUCCCGUUCUCUUUUCUUCCCCUCUCCAUCCC